rnacentral:rRNA from 1 species
GUGGGGAAUCUUCCGCAAUGGACGAAAGUCUGACGGAGCAACGCCGCGUGAACGAUGACGGCCUUCGGGUUGUAAAGUUCUGUUAUACGGGACGAAUGGCGCAACGGUCAAUACCCGUUGCGAGUGACGGUACCGUAAGAGAAAGCCACGGCUAACUACGUGCCAGCAGCCGCGGUAAUACGUAGGUGGCAAGCGUUGUCCGGAAUUAUUGGGCGUAAAGGGCGCGCAGGCGGCGUCGUAAGUCGGUCUUAAAAGUGCGGGGCUUAACCCCGUGAGGGGACCGAAACUGCGAUGCUAGAGUAUCGGAGAGGAAAGCGGAAUUCCUAGUGUAGCGGUGAAAUGCGUAGAUAUUAGGAGGAACACCAGUGGCGAAAGCGGCUUUCUGGACGACAACUGACGCUGAGGCGCGAAAGCCAGGGGAGCAAACGGG